GUGGUAUUGCUCCAUAUGCCUGAGACCCUAACAAAAGCCUAAUUACAACUCAUAUGCCUGGAGCCAGGACAUGUGCAGGAUGCCAUGAUGGUCCAAGUUAUAUUGGGAUUCAGCCAAUAGAAGAUAUUUUGCCUGUCAUCCCUAAGCUUAGGACAAUAGACUCUGCCAAGAGAGGGGAUUAUUACAUAUUGCAGAGCCCAGCACCUAGGUGGAGUGACUCUCAUCUUUUUCUUCUACCCCGUAUAUAGCCAGCUUGGUGACCUACUAUUUGAGUCUAUACCCAGGCCCAGACCACAGAUGAAAUUGUGCAAUAUGUGGAACAAACACCUAAACAAUAUAUAACACCUUCCUUGGCUCUGUCUACAAAGGGCACUUUUAUAUAUCACUGGGACCAUCAACCAGGUGAUGUUAAUUAUCUUCCUGAAACCUGUCUACAAAGAGAGUUGUGUCGUAUACCUAGGCCCGUCAUGUAAGUGAUGUCAGUCCCUUCUACUGCCUUGGCCCUGCACUUACAGUGCAUUGUGACACAUAACAAGGUACUGCACACAGACGAUGUGAUUCUCCUUUUUGGGUUCUGCCAAAAGGAAGCAUUGUAAUAAAUCGCUUGGCUCAGUACCAAGGUGAUGUUUCUUUGCUUUUGCCUGGGCCCUGAUAACAGGGAGAUUGUGAUCUAUUGCUGGGCCCAACAAAAAUGUGAGGUCACUCUCCAGCCGUGGUACUUCACAUAAGCGCCAUUGUGACAUGUAUCUAGGCCAAUUGCCUAGGUGAAGUGAGUUUCCUCUCUUGCCAAAGUCCUGCCCACAGAGGGGGUUUUGAUAUGUCACUGAAAUCAGCAUUCAGGUGAUGUGACUCUUCUGCCAGGGUCCUGCGUACUAGGUGGAUUGUGACAUCUCACUGGACCCGCAACCAUGUAGGUCAUGUGACUUUCAUGCCUUCUCACUGGCCACAGGUGAUGUUGUGCCAUAUAACUGAGACCGUAUCAAAAGCCUAAUAACAAGACGUAUGUCUGGAGCCCCGAUAUGCACAGGAUGGUGAGUCUUAUCGUUCAACUUUUCCACAAGUGUAAUUGUGACAUAUACCUCUGCCCAGCUCCUGAAUUAAUUAUUCUGCCUAGGUAUCGCCCACAAAUGAGAAUUUGACAAAUAACAGAGCCAAGCACCUUGAUGAUUUGACCGCGUUAUCUUAACAAUGUCCUCUGGAGGGAUUGUAACAUAUUUCUGGACCCAUUUUC
rnacentral:lncRNA from 10 species